rnacentral:rRNA from 1 species
AGCGAACGCUGGCGGCAGGCCUAACACAUGCAAGUCGAACGAACUCUUCGGAGUUAGUGGCGGACGGGUGCGUAACACGUGGGAACGUGCCUUUUGGUUCGGAAUAACUCAGGGAAACUUGUGCUAAUACCGAAUGUGCCCUUCGGGGGAAAGAUUUAUCGCCAUUAGAGCGGCCCGCGUCUGAUUAGCUAGUUGGUGAGGUAACGGCUCACCAAGGCGACGAUCAGUAGCUGGUCUGAGAGGAUGACCAGCCACACUGGGACUGAGACACGGCCCAGACUCCUACGGGAGGCAGCAGUGGGGAAUCUUGCGCAAUGGGCGAAAGCCUGACGCAGCCAGGCCGCGUGAAUGAUGAAGGUCUUAGGAUUGUAAAAUUCUUUCACCGGGGACGAUAAUGACGGUACCCGGAGAAGAAGCCCCGGCUAACUUCGUG